UACGUAGGGUGCGAGCGUUAAUCGGAAUUACUGGGCGUAAAGCGUGCGCAGGCGGUGCUGUAAGACCGAUGUGAAAUCCCCGGGCUUAACCUGGGAACUGCAUUGGUGACUGCAGCGCUGGAGUAUGGCAGAGGGGGGUGGAAUUCCACGUGUAGCAGUGAAAUGCGUAGAUAUGUGGAGGAAUACCGAUGGCGAAGGCAGCCCCCUGGGAUAACACUGACGCUCAUGCACGAAAGCGUGGGGAGCAAACAGG
rnacentral:rRNA from 1 species